CAAAAUUCUAAACCUGGAAGUUGCUGUGAAAUGGAAUUGUUGCUCUCUGGACAGCUUGUAAGUGAUGUUCUACACCAGAAAGGCAGGCAGGCUACUGGAGACUCAUGCUGACACGCUGCUCCAUUGAGGGCCCAUGGCAUGUAGCUGCAGAGAAGUUAACAAGAAUCAUAGAAAUGUAGGGCUGGAAGGGACCUUGAGAAGUCAUCAAGUCUAGCCUCCUGUGCUGUGGCAGAACCAAAAUAAACCUAGACCAUACCAGACAGAAAUCAGAUGUUUGCACUGUGGACCUGAUCCAGCAUUCAUUAAAAUCGAUGGGACGUCUUUCACUGAUUUCAGUAAACAUUGGAUCCAAGUCUACACGAGCUGAUGAAAAUGUAAUUUAUUUGUUCAAUAUGUGUUCCACUCAAGCAAAAUUCUCAGACAGCGGAAAGCUGUGAUGAGCCAUCAAACAAGGAGUGAUCUGGAAACUGAUUCAUACAAGAAGCUCCAAGUCCAAUAUGAGGUAACAAAAGAAGAAGAAAAUACAACUAAACCUUCAUCCCCAACUGGGCUCAGCGUACAGUCCUGUUCCUCACAGGGAG